GCGAAGGAAGUAGGAUGAGUCCCAGAAGCCUGUGCGUCCAGCUGGGUCUCUUCCUCCUGCGCCCUCGAUGAUGCUGGACCGGCCGUGGACUCGGGACUGGGUGGGUGGUGGGCAAAGACGCCAACCUACCUGGACGUCGCAGUGGGCUGGGCAGAGAAGGGCGGGGAACUCCGAAGGCGCUCCUAGUUCCAGAGUAAUGGAUUCUUGUAAACUUUUCUUCCUACCUGGAAUGUGACUUCUUCCAAGGAAGGACAGGGGAUGAAGGAAUGGUGUCCUGGAUUCCCACUGAGGCCCUUGCCUUCUGGGCAGGUUUGGAGGUAGACUGUUGCUUACUGGAUGGGAAGGGGCCAAGCACACUUGAGUGACGGAUCUGAAAGCAGAGCUAGUGGUAGCUUUAGUCUUCAUCAAGUGAGGGUCACACUUAGGCCCGCUGAGAGAAGAGACUUCCUACAGUUUACCCAAAGAACACACAGGCCGAGUAAGAAAAACCAUUUCCCACAAAGUGACCCAUGCACUAAACAUAAGCACGGUCUUGAAAGGACUUAAGUAGACAUGCCUAAAAUAAAUACACACAAAUGGCCGUAAAGCACAUGAAGAAAAUGGCCAACACCACUGAUCACUAUGGAAGUGCAAAUCAGAACCAGAAGAGACCACCUCCUACCUAUCAAGAUGGUUGCUACCCAAACAGAGCAAUUACCGGAGAGGGUAUGGAGAACUGGGGACCUUUGUGUGUAAAAUACCCCAGUCACUACAGAAAUGACAGAAAAUUGAAACCUGCAGUCCCACUUCUAGGUGGCUACCUAAAGGAACCAGAAGUCCAAGCAUGGACAGACAGAGAGACAGACAGACACACGUGCACGUACACACACACACACACACACACACACACACACACCUUCACUGCAGACUUGGGGCUUUGGAAAGGCUCAGAAGCAAUAGAAAUAAGGAAGUGUGUAGGGAAAUGGGCCUGGCUUUAAUGAGGCCUUGGCUGUUGAGUGGAAGGGAGGCAGCACAUACCAAGCUGCUCUGGGACCUAAGUGAGGAGCGGAGCCGGCUUUUAUUAGUUUGCUGGGGAAAGUUAACAACUGUAGCAAUGUUUCGUUUAUGUUUAACAAAUAAAGUUUGCUUGAAGAUCA